UAAUCUGUUGAGAGUAGUUGUCCAACAAGUCUAUAUAUACAAUGCUAUCAAUGUGUAAAGUUGAGUAUGUUGAAAUACAGAGAAUUCAGUUCAGUUUAUAUCCAGUUAUUUCUUUCUAAAAUUUAGAGUGUAUUACCUAUUUUCUUUCAUGGUAUCAGUCGCUUUGUGAUCCUCGGAGCUAUGGCUAACUCGAAUUUCGCUGAUUCUUCCUUGGUUGAUGGUGGUUGGGCUGUUUUCACUGAUGAUAGUGUUGUGAACUCGUUCCCUCGGCAUGAGAUUGUAAAGCUUGAUUAAGGAACCUUCUUCCAAUGGAAACAACAGGUACGGUUAAUCCUGUGUGGCUAUGAUUUGAUAAGAUUUCUAGACAGUACCUUAUUUCUACCAGUGAAGUUCAUUCAAUCUCCAGACGGUUCUCUUGCUCCUAAUCCGUCCGUGCUGAUCUUUAUGUAACAAGAUCAUUUCCUCACUUCGUGGUUGCUGUCCACGAUACAUGGUUCUUUGCUGUCCUCCUUCACGGAGGCUAGGACGGCUUGCAAUGUGCGGACUAUAGCGAUGAGUCUUUUCGUGGCCUACACUAGUACUAAACAAUCUCAGAUUCGUCAUGACCUUCAUUCUCUCAAGAAAUGUAUGCUUUCAAUCAAAGAUUACGUUACUCGUAUAAAGAAUCUUUGUGCGCUCUUGGAAGCCUCAGGUACUCAGAUUUCUGAGGCAGAGAAGACGGGCAUUCUGACUACCGGUCUACCUACUGAAUUUGAUGCUGUCGUUUCCUCAGUGUUUAUCUCGUCCGGGCUGGUACCAUUUCAAAGGCUCGUUGAUGCUCUACUUGCAUUUGAGAAUCGUCAAUUACAAGUGGUUCAGGAGGUGAUUCUACAUGCCAACCUCGUGGAGGCAGGUUCGUCAUGCGCACCUGAGGUCUCCAUCCGUGGUGGUUGUCUUCCGUCCGGUGGCCGUGGGUUAAAGUUCCGUCCGCACAUUCAAUGUCAGAUCUGUAAUAGAUUCGGGCAUCUUGCUCAGCGGUGCUAUUACCAUUUUCACAGUGAUUUUGGUGGCUCGUCCGUGAUGGAUCGGGUGUCGCGAAGUGGUGAUGAGCCUACUCUGGCAUUGGGCAGUGGUCCAGGUCCGAUGGCCUAUGCGCCGAACGUAGAUUUUGCUGAAAAUGGUGGCCCUCUCAACGUAUGCGGUUCUCUUAUGGUCAAAAUUCAGCUGGUUAAAAUCAGCCUGGUCAAAAUUGGUGUCCAGUUGGUGAUGUGUAUGAGUUUCAAGAUGGGUCAGAUGUCCCACGUUUUACUCGGCCUAGGAGUGUGUUUCGUGGGCCAUAUAGGCCGACUUUCAACAUGGCUAAUGAGCCAUUUGGGCCUGCAAAUUUCAAGUUUAAUAGACCAGUUUUCA
rnacentral:lncRNA from 1 species